GUGUCAGCAGCCGCGGUAAUACAGAGGUGGCAAGCGUUGUUCGGAAUUACUGGGCGUAAAGGGCGCGUAGGCGGUCCGAUAAGUCCCGUGUGAAAUCCCUCGGCUCAACUGAGGAAUGGCACGGGAAACUGACGGGCUUGAGUUCGGGAGAGGGAAGCGGAAUUCCGGGUGUAGCGGUGAAAUGCGUAGAUAUCCGGAGGAACACCGGUGGCGAAGGCGGCUUCCUGGACCGACACUGACGCUGAGGCGCGAAAGCUAGGGGAGCAAACGGGAUUAGAAACCCGCGUAGUCC
rnacentral:rRNA from 1 species